AGGUGGGAGGAUUGCUUGAGCCCAGGGAGAUGGAGGUUGCAGUGAGCUGAGAUCACACCACUGCACUCCAGCCUG
ensembl:miRNA